rnacentral:ncRNA from 2 species
CGCUAGCGCUAGGGGGAUGGUUCCCGUGACACACAAUCCUGUGUGGACGGGAUGAAAAGGGAACGCGGUGCGAUCUGACAGGUUUGUUCAGGUCAACUCCGUGACUGCCCCCGCAACUGUAGGCGGCGAGCACCCCGGAUGAACCACUGGCCAGACGCGCUCCUUUGGACGCCCCUGGCUGGGAAGGACCGGAGCUGCGACGACCCGCGAGUCAGGAGACCUGCCAUCACAUGGAAACUCGA